UACGAAGGGGGCGAGCGUUGUUCGGAAUUACUGGGCGUAAAGGGCGCGCAGGCGGCUCUGAAAGUCAGAUGUGAAAGCCCCGGGCUUAACCUGGGAAUUGCAUUUGAUACUCUGGAGCUUGAGUACGGGAGAGGAGAGUGGAAUUCCCAGUGUAGAGGUGAAAUUCGUAGAUAUUGGGAAGAACACCGGUGGCGAAGGCGGCUCUCUGGACCGUAACUGACGCUGAGGAGCGAAAGCGUGGGGAGCGAACAGG
rnacentral:rRNA from 1 species